rnacentral:rRNA from 1 species
GAAUUGUUCGCAAUGGGCGCAAGCCUGACGACGCAACGCCGCGUGGAGGAUGAAGAUCUUCGGGUCGUAAACUCCUUUCGAUCGAGACGAAUAGCUUCCGGGUGAACAGUCCGGGAGAAUGACGGUACCGAGAGAAGAAGCCCCGGCCAACUCCGUGCCAGCAGCCGCGGUAAUACGGGGGGGGCAAGCGUUGUUCGGAAUUACUGGGGGUAAAGGGCUCGUAGGCGGCCAACUAAGUCAGACGUGAAAUCCCUCGGCUUAACUGGGGAACUGCAUCUGAUACUGGAUGGCUUGAGAUUGGGAGAGGGAUGCGGAAUUCCAGGUGUAGCGGUGAAAUGCGUAGAUAUCUGGAGGAACACCGGUGGCGAAGGCGGCAUCCUGGACCAACACUGACGCUGAGGAGCGAAAGCCAGGGGAGCAAACGGG